AUUGAACGCUGGCGGCAGGCUUAACACAUGCAAGUCGAACGAGUGGCGGACGGGUGAGUAAUGCUUGGGAAUCUGCCCUAUGGAGGGGGAUAACGACGGGAAACUGUCGCUAAUACCGCGUACCAUAGGAUGAGCCCAAGUGGUAUUAGGUAGUUGGUGGGGUAAAGGCCGACCAAGCCGACGAUCUCUAGCUGGUCUGAGAGGAUGAACAGCCACACCGUGACUGAGACACGGCCCCGACUCCUACGGGAGGCAGCAGUGGGGAAGAUGGCGCAAUGGGCGCAACCUGAUGCAGCCAUGCCGCGUGUAUGAAGAAGGCCUUCGGGUUGUAAAGUUCUUUCGGUGACGAGGCGUUAAUCACAGAAGAAGCACCGGCUAACUCCGUGCCAGCAGCCGCGGUAAUUC
rnacentral:rRNA from 1 species